CAGGGGGUAGUUUUAUUAAAAAUAUUAAUUUUGGAGAUUAAUGAAAAGGAGCACCUUUCCCCUGA
rnacentral:tRNA from 1 species